CCCAACGUUGGGAAUAGGGUGCAGUGACAUCAAGAGCUGAACCCAGUGCUGGAAGCAGAGUGCAGUGACUGGGAGCACCAAACCCCAACGCUGCCACUUGCUGUCAGCCUUAGCUGCAUCCCAAAGCCACAUUCCUCCACCCACUGCCCUCUCCUCCCCAUCAGCAAUCAUUCCCCAAUGGCCUUUUCCAUCUGUUCUGCUGUUCCACGGGCUUUGGCCUCCUGCUAAAGUUAUCCAGACUGUGGUAGAGGUGGGGAGAGGCAGAAGCUGUGCCCCAAGAACCUGCUGCUGGCUUUGGGAACGGCGUUAUAUCCCCUUAUUAUCAGGUGGGAGAACUACAAAAAUAAUAAUAACAAAUAACACAGUAAUAAUAAUAAAUAAUGAGAAUGUGAAGAAUCCCACAACUUUUUCCCUUAGGUUUUUAUUUAUUUACUUAUUUUUCCCUUCAAUUCCCACUGGAGGAAGAAAGGAUUUCAUCAGGUGGUGUUGGGGGCACAUUUCUGUCCCUCUCAGUGGGGGUCCCAGAGCUGCUCUGAGGGUCCAUAGAGGAAGCAGAGGUCCCAACCCCAUCUCUGUGCCGGGUGUUCCUAUUGCUCAGCCCCACGGGCCGAAGGUGCGGACGGCGGAGGAGAAAGGAGGAGAAAGAAGAAGGAGGAGGAGGAGGAGGAGGAGGAGGAUGAGGCCGAGGAGAGCGGCGUGACCGAGCGGCGG
rnacentral:lncRNA from 1 species